GGGUCGUUAGCUCAGUCGGUAGAGCAGCGGACUUUUAAUCCGUUGGUCGUGCGUUCGAGUCGCACACGGCCUACCA
rnacentral:tRNA from 1 species